rnacentral:rRNA from 1 species
GCCUGGGGAGUACGAUCGCAAGAUUAAAACUCAAAGGAAUUGACGGGGACCCGCACAAGCAGCGGAGCAUGCGGCUUAAUUCGACGCAACGCCGAAGAACCUUACCAAGGCUUGACAUAUAGCGAAAAGCGCCAGAGAUGUCGUGUCCGCAAGGGCGCUAUACAGGUGUUGCAUGGUUGUCGUCAGCUCGUGUCGUGAGAUGUUGGGUUAAGUCCCGCAACGAGCGCAACCCUCGUUCUGUGUUGCCAGCAUUUAGUUGGGGACUCACAGGAGACUGCCGUGGUUAACACGGAGGAAGGUGGGGAUGACGUCAAAUCAUCAUGCCCCUUAUGUCUUGGGCUGCACGCAUGCUACAAUGGCCGAUACAAAGGGCUGCAAUACCGUGAGGUGGAGCGAAUCCCAUAAAGUCGGUCUCAGUUCGGAUUGAGGUCUGCAACUCGACCUCAUGAAGUCGGAGUUGCUAGUAAUCGUAGAUCAGCAACGCUACGGUGAAUACGUUCCCGGGUCUUGUACACACCGCCCGUCACGUCACG